rnacentral:rRNA from 1 species
UACAGAGGGUGCAAGCGUUAAUCGGAAUUACUGGGCGUAAAGGGCGCGUAGGUGGUUGCGUAAGUGGAAUGUGAAAUCCCCGGGCUUAACCUGGGAACUGCAUUUUAGACUGCGUAGCUGGAGUGCGAUAGAGGGUAGUGGAAUUUCCGGUGUAGCGGUGAAAUGCGUAGAUAUCGGAAGGAACACCAGUGGCGAAGGCGGCUACCUGGAUUGACACUGACACUGAGGCGCGAGAGCGUGGGGAGCAAACAGG